GGCUAACGCUGGCGGCGUGUCUUAGCCAUGCAAGUCGAGCGGACUUAUGGGGUAACUUAUAAGUCAGCGGCGGACGGCGGAGUAACACGUAGCUAACCUACCCUCUGGACGGGGAUAACCUACCGAAAGGUGGGCUAAUACCCGAUGUAGUCAUCCUGUAUAGGGGUGAUGAAAGGUGGGCUUCUGUUUACAAGCUCAUGCUGGAGGAGGGGGCUGCGGCCUAUCAGGUAGUUGGUAGGGUAAUAGCCUACCAAGCCGAUGACGGGUAGCCGGCCUGAGAGGGUGACCGGCCCGAGGGGCACUGAGAUACGGGUCCCACUCCUACGGGAGGCAGCAGGCUAGAAAUUUGGGCAAUGGGGGAAACCCUGACCCAGUGACGCCGCGUGCAGGAAGGAGCCCUUCGGGGUGUAAACUGCUGUCGUGUAGGGAGAAGGGUACUAAGGUGAACAAUCUUAGUACUUGACGGUACUACAGGAGGAAGCCCAGGCUAACCUCGUGCCAGCAGGCGCGGUAAUAUAGCGUACU
rnacentral:rRNA from 1 species